rnacentral:rRNA from 1 species
GACGAACGCUGGCGGCGUGCUUAACACAUGCAAGUCGAACGGUAAGGCCCUUCGGGGUACACGAGUGGCGAACGGGUGAGUAACACGUGGGUGAUCUGCCCUGCACUUCGGGAUAAGCCUGGGAAACUGGGUCUAAUACCGGAUAGGACUCCUGCCUGCAUGGGUGGGGGUGGAAAGCUUUUGCGGUGUGGGAUGGGCCCGCGGCCUAUCAGCUUGUUGGUGGGGUGAUGGCCUACCAAGGCGACGACGGGUAGCCGGCCUGAGAGGGUGACCGGCCACACUGGGACUGAGAUUCGGCCCAGACUCCUACGGGAGGCAGCAGUGGGGAAUAUUGCACAAUGGGCGCAAGCCUGAUGCAGCGACGCCGCGUGAGGGAUGACGGCCUUCGGGUUGUAAACCUCUUUCAGCACAGACGAAGCGCAAGUGACGGUAUGUGCAGAAGAAGGACCGGCCAACUACGUGCCAGCCGCCGCCGUAACAC